rnacentral:rRNA from 1 species
GAUGAACGCUGGCGGCGUGCCUAAUACAUGCAAGUCGAGCGAACAGACGAGGAGCUUGCUCCUCUGACGUUAGCGGCGGACGGGUGAGUAACACGUGGAUAACCAACCUAUAAGACUGGGAUAACUUCGGGAAACCGGAGCUAAUACCGGAUAACAUGUUGAACCGCAUGGUUCAACAGUGAAAGACGGUUUUGCUGUCACUUAUAGAUGGAUCCGCGUCGCAUUAGCUAGUUGGUAAGGUAACGGCUUACCAAGGCAACGAUGCGUAGCCGACCUGAGAGGGUGAUCGGCCACACUGGAACUGAGACACGGUCCAGACUCCUACGGGAGGCAGCAGUAGGGAAUCUUCCGCAAUGGGCGAAAGCCUGACGGAGCAACGCCGCGUGAGUGAAGAAGGUCUUCGGAUCGUAAAACUCUGUUAUUAGGGAAGAACAAAUGUGUAAGUAACUAUGCACGUCUUGACGGUACCUAAUCAGAAAGCCACGGCUAACUACGUG